rnacentral:rRNA from 1 species
CCUUACUGCAGGGAAAGUUGAAAAGAACUUUGAAGAGAGAGUUCAAGAGGUUGUGAAACUGUCAUGAGCCUAAACGGGUAGAACCUAGAAGAUCGAAAAGGGUGGAUACUCCUGUCCCUUACCCAUUGCGGCAGGGGAUUGAAGGGUCGAGGGUGGCCUGUUCCUCCGACUCGCCUCUCACUGGUUGGAAGGGCCGCCAGGACGAUUUCGGUCGGGUCUGGAAGGUGCAUCGUCCCAGUUGACGCGAGAGGGGGCCCCUGCUGUAUCCAUGGGUGUUCCUCUGUACACGCCUCGUCUUUGGAACGUGUUUUGGGAAGCUCUCCUACCCCUUAAGUAGAUCACUGCAACCAGUUUGGGGGAGGCGAAUUCCCUUCGGGGGAUAGGGCCCGAUUGGAUCGGUAGCCAGUUGAGAAGCCCGCCGUCCUUGGACGACGGUGUGGACGACGUGGUGAAGCCAUCGGUGUUGAUAACGUCCUUCGCUAAAAGAGAGCGUCGGAUGGAUCCCGGUCGCCCCCGGACUGUUGUUGUAUGGGACGCAUGAUGUGGGUCCUCCUUCUAUUCUGUAGAGGGUGUAGGAACCUCUGUGUCUUGCAGUGUUAUAAUUGUCAGUGGUCUACCCGACCCGUCUUGAAACACGGACCAAGGAGUCUAGCAUGUGUGCGAGUCAUUGGGCUUUUACGAAACCCAAAGGCGUAAUGAGAGUGACAUUUGGCUGAUCCCUAGGGCGGUUCUCGCCAGCGGGGCGGUAGGUUUACGGCUGCUUACAUUCUCAUCGUAGUCUUCGGAUUCUGCUUUUGUACUCGGGCUGUUUCCUACGUGGGGAGGCUGAUGAGUUAAUUUCUCCGUCAUCCCCCAGCCGCACCACGCUGACCGAGGCCGUCUGCACUCCGCACAAGGAGGGGGCGCAAGCCAGGGACUUGUCAACAUGACUUAAGCGGUGCAGUACUGCUCUGCUGCCUCUUCUCCGCCCUUCUUCCACCUCCACCUCAGCCUGUAAAAGGGCUGUUGUUGUUGCUGUGGUGUUGGGCGUCGAGGAUCGAGUUGUUAAUGCGGGCUGCUGUUUUCCACCGUGGUAGUCGACAAGUACCAUGAGCACACACGCUAGGACCCGAAAGAUGGUGAACUAUGCCUGGCCAGGAUGAAGCCAGAGGAAACUCUGGUGGAGGUCCGAAGCGGUUCUGACGUGCAAAUCGAUCGCCAGAGCUGGGUAUAGGGGCGAAAGACCAAUCGAACCAUCUAGUAGCUGGUUCCCCCCGAAGUUUCCCUCAGGAUAGCUGGUAUUCAUCAAUGAGUUUCAUCCUGUAAAGAGAAUGAUUGGAGGUCUUGGGGGUGCAAUGCCCUCAACCUACUCUCAAACUUUAAAUGGGUGAGAUGCUGAGCUUUCUUAAUUGAAGCCUCGGCGAUAAAUCAGAGUACCAAGUGGGCCAAUUUUGGUAAKCAGAASURSCAAGUGGGCCAAUUUUGGUAAGCAGAACUGGCGAUGUGGGAUGCACCAAAAGUCCGAGUUAAGGGGCCAAAACGAAUGCUAAGUGGGAACACAAAAGGUGUCGGUUGCUAUAGACAGCAGGACGGUGGCCAUGGAAGUCGGCAUCCGCUAAGGAGUGUGUAACAACUCACCUGCCGAAGCAACCGGCCCUGAAAAUGGAUGGCACUAAAGCAUUCUCCCGAUACUCGACCGCCAGUAAACGUAAAGUGGCACUACAACGGGAUGYGAUACUACGCAAGUAGGUCCCCCGUUCGAGGCCCUGGCGGGUAGGGGGGCGUGGCGGUUAGCGAAGAAGGGUAAAGCGUGAGCUUGCCUGGAGCAGCCGCUAGUGCAGAUCUUGGUGGAAGUAGCAAAACGUCUGGUGGGCUGCACAAAUGAUCCCAGAGGACCACAGUGGAGGAAGGGUUCCAUGUCAACAUCAAUUGGACAUGGGUUAGUCGGUCCUAAACCCAAACCUAACCGGUUUAUAUUACAUGAUGGCGUGUGUGGACGCAGGCUCAUGAUGGGCAAUUGUUUUUCGUGCGGUGACGUCCGUUUCCAUCUAUACAUGGACUGAUGCACCUUUGCCCCGACCUCCUCCCUCCCUCCCUCUUUCUUCGUUGGCGGCUGAAUCCUCAGCCAAAGACGUCGAUCGAUCGAUCGAUCGAGGAUGGUCAGUCAGCGGGUCGCUGUCGCAGUUUAAUUAAGAUGGAAGAGACGGCGGCGACCCACUAAAUGCUGAUAGGGACAGUCUGGCUCUGUCCCUACCGUAGUCCACAUGCAGUCUUCGACUGGCGUGGUUCUAGACCCUGAAGCGACCUCGGAGAACCGUACUGAUAUUCUUCGGACGGGAGGAAGAGGGCCGUGGACGGGGAUGGUCC